UACGGAGGUUCCUAGCGUUGUCCGGAUUUAUUGGGCGUAAAGAGCGUGUAGGCGGUUUGGUAGGUCCGUUGUGAAAACUCGAGGCUCAACCUCGAGACGCCGAUGGAAACCAUCAGACUAGAGUCCGGAAGAGGAGAGUGGAAUUCCUGGUGUAGCGGUGAAAUGCGCAGAUAUCAGGAAGAACACCCGUGGCUAAGGCGGCUCUCUAGUACGGUACUGACGCUGAGACGCGAAAGCGUGGGGAGCGAACAGG
rnacentral:rRNA from 1 species